rnacentral:rRNA from 1 species
GAUGAACGCUGGCGGCGUGCCUAAUGCAUGCAAGUCGAGCGAACGGACGAGAAGCUUGCUUCUCUGAUGUUAGCGGCGGACGGGUGAGUAACACGUGGAUAACCUACCUAUAAGACUGGGAUAACUUCGGGAAACCGGAGCUAAUACCGGAUAAUAUUUUGAACCGCAUGGUUCAAAAGUGAAAGACGGUCUUGCUGUCACUUAUAGAUGGAUCCGCGCUGCAUUAGCUAGUUGGUAAGGUAACGGCUUACCAAGGCAACGAUGCAUAGCCGACCUGAGAGGGUGAUCGGCCACACUGGAACUGAGACACGGUCCAGACUCCUACGGGAGGCAGCAGUAGGGAAUCUUCCGCAAUGGGCGAAAGCCUGACGGAGCAACGCCGCGUGAGUGAAGAAGGUCUUCGGAUCGUAAAACUCUGUUAUUAGGGAAGAACAUAUGUGUAAGUAACUGUGCACAUCUUGACGGUACCUAAUCAGAAAGCCACGGCUAACUACGUG